AGAGUUUGAUCCUGGCUCAGGACGAACGCUGGCGGCGUGCCUAACACAUGCAAGUCGAGCGAAAUUUUCCUUCGGGGAUUUUUAGCGGCGGACGGGUGAGUAACACGUGGGUAACCUGCCUCAAAGAGGGGGAUAGCCUCCCGAAAGGGAGAUUAAUACCGCAUAAGAUAUGAAGUUCGCAUGAUCUUUAUAUUAAAGGA
rnacentral:rRNA from 1 species